GCAGGCACUGAAGGAUUUGGACCAUGCCUGAUUAGACUUUUCUGCAUUCACAUGUCAGCUUUUCCCAGUACAGAGAAGCCAGAAAAUCUUCCAUGGGAAAGAAUUAGUUCCCAAAGCUCAAGAGAACUCCUGGCACAGGUAAAAAUAGCAUGAAAUACAUUCAGUAGCAAAGCAGUUGGAAUCCAGGAAAAGUGGAGAGCCCUGUAUUCCUGGAGGAUUAACCUGUACAUGUUAAGACAUGAUACUGAAAUAAGUAAUGUAGGCUUCUGA